rnacentral:rRNA from 1 species
ACGGGAUGGUUUGGCACCUCGAUGUCGGCUCGUCGCAUCCUGGGGCUGGAGUCGGUCCCAAGGGUUGGGCUGUUCGCCCAUUAAAGCGGUACGCGAGCUGGGUUUAGAACGUCGUGAGACAGUUCGGUCCCUAUCCGCCGCGCGCGCAGGAGAUUUGAGAAGGGCUGUCCUUAGUACGAGAGGACCGGGACGGACGAACCUCUGGUGUGCCAGUUGUUCCGCCAGGAGCACGGCUGGUUAGCUACGUUCGGAAGGGAUAACCGCUGAAAGCAUCUAAGCGGGAAGCUUGCUUCAAGAUUAGAUCUCCCAUCCUUUAUGGAGUAAGGCCCCCGGCUAGACAACCGGGUUGAUAGGCCGGAAGUGGAAGUGCGGUAACGCAUGCAGCUGACCGGUACUAAUAGGCCGAGGACUUGCCACA